AAAAGGAGAAGAACAAA
rnacentral:sRNA from 1 species